rnacentral:lncRNA from 1 species
GUUUGUUUGCCUUUUUCAUUAUUUAGAGCGAGCCAGAUCAUGAAUUCGUUUAAAAUCGUUUCUUAGGUUUCUUCUAUUUUCUGUUCUCUUUACAGAACACAAUCUUCCAAUCAGCUGAAAUGAACAAAGCGGAUUAACGAAGCUCCCAUUAUCGAGGAUGGCCAACACUGCCAUCUAGCGACAGUUCCUCCGCACCAGCGUUAUAUUACGGUCUGAGUUUCCAUUCGCCCUGGGUUAGGACGGGGGAUGUUUCGCAUUAGUGGUGGGGGAAAGGAAAGGGGUUUCGGCUGGGGUUGGAGCUGAGGUUGAAUGUGGCAUUUAAGCAACACGGAGUAGAAGACCCCUCUCCAGUAAAAGCUACCGUGCGAUCUAGUCUAAUACCGGAGAAAGACACACCAGAUCCUGUGAAGAGGACUUCUGGACAGACCAGCCAUGACAGUCCUGAAGAUCCGCCUGCCCUUGUUUCUGCAGCAUUCAGCCUACAGGAGGUAACCCUGAGGUUAUGGGAGACUUGGGAA